CACUAUAUAAAGCAAUAGAGGGUGCAAUUUCUCUCUCUUCAGUUCAAGCUAAAUGCAAAGGUGGACAAACUGCAUACGAUAAACCCUGCUCAGCCCAAUAUGGCUGCAUUGCUACUGCAGAAUAGCUCAAUGGUAUCUUCUGAGCAGACCUCAGACGGUGGAAUAACAAAUGGAUAUGCAGAAGAAUUAGUCAAUCUGAAGACCCUAUAAAAUGGGAUUCGAAUGAACCAGUGGACGUUUAAUUGGAGGACUCGUACCAACUGAAAUGGCAGCGGUGAUGACCCAAUCACCUUGGGAUUGAACAGCGGGUAUGGAGGUACAAGUGUGCCUUAACACUUAAGCUGUAAUGGCCCAAUCCAGGUCCCUUGAUGGGAAUGUCAAUCUGUCUUGUGACUGGCAUUGACCAAUUACACUUCACCGUUGAUAUACCCGUAAUACGGGUUUUAAGGUCUUGUGAAAAAAUGAUUGAGGCCGGUCAUACAUCAUAAUGGCCUUCUCCUGCCCGCAUAACAUCCAAUGACGUGGGAAUUCUACUAACGGCCUGUAUGCAGCUGCUGCUGGAGAAAUGGAGAAGGCUCACAUCCUUCCAAUGAGUGAAGCUAAAUAAGACAUUAUUGGUUGCUGUAUGGUCAUGAGCCAGGUUGAAUGAUAUUUCCUCUCGUAAAGCCCUUUUACUGCAAUAAAUUAACAAGAAAUUGUC